rnacentral:rRNA from 1 species
UCUAUAACCUAUACCACCCUGAAUGUGCCUGAUCUCAUCUGAUCUCGGAAGCUAAGCAGCAUGGGGUGUGGUUAGUACUUGGAUGGAAGAAGAGAAUUCUCAGAGACAGUU